GAUCCUGGCUCAGAUUGAACGCUGGCGGCGGGCUUAACACAUGCAAGUCGAACGGUAACAUAAAGAAGCUUGCUUCUUUGAUGACGAGUGGCGGACGGGUGAGUAAUGCUUGGGAAUCUAGCUUAUGGAGGGGGAUAACUACGGGAAACUGUAGCUAAUACCGCGUAGAAUCGGAAGAUGAAAGUGUGGGACCUUCGGGCCACAUGCCAUAGGAUGAGCCCAAGUGGGAUUAGGUAGUUGGUGAGGUAAAGG
rnacentral:rRNA from 1 species